UACGGGGGGGGCAAGCGUUGUUCGGAAUUACUGGGCGUAAAGGGCUCGUAGGUGGCCAACUAAGUCAGACGUGAAAUCCCUCGGCUUAACCGGGGAACUGCGUCUGAUACUGGAUGGCUUGAGUUUGGGGGAGGGACGCGGAAUUCCAGGUGUAGCGGUGAAAUGCGUAGAUAUCUGGAGGAACACCGGUGGCGAAGGCGGCGUCCUGGACCAACACUGACACUGAGGAGCGAAAGCCAGGGGAGCAAACAGG
rnacentral:rRNA from 1 species